rfam:Triticum aestivum genome assembly, contig: Triticum_aestivum_CS42_TGACv1_scaffold_578766_7BL
AAAGUACUCCCUCCGUCCGGAAAUAAUUGUUGGAGAAAUGGAUAAAAAUGAAUGUAUUUAGAACUAAAAUAUAUCUAGAUACAUCCAUUCCUCCGACGAGUAUUUCCGGACGGAGGGAGUAACAC